UACGGAGGAUGCGAGCGUUAUCCGGAUUUAUUGGGUUUAAAGGGUGCGUAGGCGGAUCGUUAAGUCAGCGGUCAAAUUGAGGGGCUCAACCCCUUCCCGCCAUUGAAACUGGCGCUCUUGAGUGGAAGAGAAGUAUGCGGAAUGCGUGGUGUAGCGGUGAAAUGCAUAGAUAUCACGCAGAACCCCGAUUGCGAAGGCAGCAUGCCGGCUUCCGACUGACGCUGAAGCACGAAAGCGUGGGGAUCGAACAGG
rnacentral:rRNA from 1 species